UACGUAGGGUGCAAGCGUUUGUCCGGAAUUAUUGGGCGUAAAGAGCUCGUAGGCGGUUUGUCGCGUCGGGAGUGAAAACUCAGGGCUUAACCCUGAGCCUGCUUCCGAUACGGGCAGACUAGAGGUAUGCAGGGGAGAAUGGAAUUCCUGGUGUAGCGGUGAAAUGCGCAGAUAUCAGGAGGAACACCGGUGGCGAAGGCGGUUCUCUGGGCAUUACCUGACGCUGAGGAGCGAAAGUGUGGGGAGCGAACAGG
rnacentral:rRNA from 1 species